AGAGUUUGAUUCUGGCUCAGGACGAACGCUAGCGACGUGUCUAAGAAAUGCAAGUCGAGCGAUGAAGGAGGCUUCGGCCUCCCGAUUAGCGGCGAACGGUCGCGUAACACGUAAGCAAUCUGCCCCAAAGUUUGGGAUAGCCCGGCGAAAGUCGGAUUAAUACCGGAUGUGGAUAUGUCCUCGCAUGUGGAUAUAUCUAAAGCAGCGAUGCGCUUUGGGAUGAGCUUGCGGCCUAUCAGCUUGAUGGCGGGGUAACGGCCUGCCAUGGCGACGACGGGUAGCUGGUCUGAGAGGAUGGUCAGCCGGACUGGGACUGAGAUACGGCCCAGACUCCUACGGGGGGCAGCAAUUAAGAAUCUUGCGCAAUGGGGGCAACCCUGACGCCAGCGACGUCGCGUGAAUGAUGAAGUCUUUCGGGAUGUAAAGUUCUUUUGUCAAGGAAGAGUAUUAGACGGUACUUGACGAAUAAGCCCCGGCUAACUACGUGCCAGCCGCUGC
rnacentral:rRNA from 1 species